GGGGAAUUUUCCGCAAUGGGCGAAAGCCUGACGGAGCAAUACCGCGUGAGGGAGGAAGGUUUUUGGAUUGUAAACCUCUUUUUUAAAGGAAGAAGAAAGUGACGGUACUUUAAGAAUCAGCAUCGGCUAACUCCGUGCCAGCAGCCGCGGUAAUACGGAGGAUGCAAGCGUUAUCCGGAAUCAUUGGGCGUAAAGCGUCCGCAGGUGGCUGUUCAAGUCUGCUGUUAAAGACAGAAGCUCAACUUCUGAACAGCAGUGGAAACUGGACGGCUAGAGUACGGUAGGGGCUGAGGGAAUUCCCAGUGUAGCGGUGAAAUGCGUAGAUAUUGGGAAGAACACCAGUGGCGAAGGCGCUCAACUGGAUCGUAACUGACACUCAGGGACGAAAGCUAGGGUAGCGAAAGGGAUUAGAUACCCCUGUAGUCUUAGCUGUAAACGAUGAACACUAGGCGUUGCUUGUAUCGACCCGAGCAGUGCCGUAGCCAACGCGUUAAGUGUUCCGCCUGGGGAGUACGCACGCAAGUGUGAAACUCAAAGGAAUUGACGGGGGCCCGCACAAGCGGUGGAGUAUGUGGUUUAAUUCGAUGCAACGCGAAGAACCUUACCAGGACUUGACAUCUCGAGAACUGAACCUAAUAGUUCAGGUGCCUUAGGGAACUCGAAGACAGGUGGUGCAUGGCUGUCGUCAGCUCGUGUCGUGAGAUGUUGGGUUAAGUCCCGCAACGAGCGCAACCCUCGUUCUUAGUUGCCAGCAUUAAGUUGGGCACUUUAGGAAGACUGCCGGUGACAAACCGGAGGAAGGUGGGGAUGACGUCAAGUCAGCAUGCCCCUUACGUUCUGGGCUACACACGUACUACAAUGGUUGGGACAAAGGGCAGCGAGCUCGCAAGAGUCAGCGAAUCUCAUCAAACCCAGCCUCAGUUCAGAUUGCAGGCUGCAACUCGCCUGCAUGAAGGAGGAAUCGCUAGUAAUCGCAGGUCAGCAUACUGCGGUGAAUUCGUUCCCGGGCCUUGUACACACCGCCCGUCACACCAUGGAAGUUGGCCACGCCCGAAGUCGUUACCCUAACCCUGUAUAGGGAGGGGGAUGCCGAAGGCAGGGCUGGUGACUAGGGUGAAGUCGUAACAAGGUAGCCGUACCGGAAGGUGUGGCUGGAUCACCUCCUU
rnacentral:rRNA from 1 species